AAUCAACGCUGGCGGCGUGCCUCAGACAUGCAAGUCGAACGAUUAAAGCUCUCUUCGGAGAGUGCAUAAAGUGGCGCACGGGUGAGUAACACGUAAGUAAUCUACCUUCGAGUGGGGAAUAACGUCCGGAAACGGACGCUAAUACCGCAUAACGCAGCGGCAUCGCAAGAUGACAGUUGUUAAAGAUUUAUCGCUUGAAGAGGAGCUUGCGGCAGAUUAGCUUGUUGGUAAGGUAACGGCUUACCAAGGCUACGAUCUGUAUCCGGUCUAAGAGGACGGUCGGACACACUGACACUGAAUAACGGGUCAGACUCCUACGGGAGGCAGCAGUCGGGAAUUUUGGGCAAUGGGGGAAACCCUGACCCAGCAACGCCGCGUGAAGGAUGAAGUAUUUCGGUAU
rnacentral:rRNA from 1 species